rnacentral:lncRNA from 1 species
GUCAUGUUAUUGACUAUCAUAGUUAGGACCAAAGACCAGUAAAAGAGUAUUUCCCCAGCUUCUACUGUCUUGGUUCUAAUUUUCCACAUGUUUUGGGGCUCAACAAGUAGAAUCUGCACUCACGAUUUAUUUGAUAUAAUUUGGUUUCCGCUUAAAUUUUGGUUUUAGAAACUAGUCAUGCACUAAUUAAUUCCCGGCACAGAUAAGCACUUCUGAGUUCCAUACCUUGGUUCAUUGAAAGGGGAUUGUUCAAUGGACGGAUCCUAACUUGGGGGGACAAAGACUUUUAACAUACCUCAGUCUUCAAUUAUUUUGCAGCUUCCUUGUUAUAUUAGUUUCUCUGGUUUUGCACAUGGACAUAGACAUUGCUUUAAUUACCCUACUGCUAUAAUAGUUUGCACAUGGACAUGGUUUCUCAACAUGAUGACAAUUAAGAUCUUUCAUGUUCUAUUAAUUUUAAAAAUGAGAGUUAUAGGGAAUUUUUCAAUAUUUUUUACACAACAAAUUGGGCAUUGUCAGAAAAUUUCUAGUAAAAAAAUAAACAACUCAAAAUCCUACCCUCUUUAUGCUUCCAAAAAAAAAAAAAAAAAACCCUACCCUCUUCAUAUUUUCAUCGCGCUUUCCCAUUUCAUUUUCACCGCCACCGCUCGACUGCCUUUCUUACUAGACAACUCAAAAAGACAAAAACUAACCUUAUCAGCUUAGCAUUUUUUCUCCUACCUCUCUUGUAGUCUCUUACAUGAUUCCAUUUGCAACUUCUAUUCGCAGCGACGGGACUACAGGAGUCAAGUCCAAAAUCUAAGGCAUCUCAACCUUUGUCUCGGGUCUCUCCCAUCUCACCAUCUCUUCCUCUCGGCCUCUUGCAGCCAUCUCCUCUGAACAGGUAAGCUGAUUCCUAAUUUCAUAUGCCAAAUUGUGACCUCAAUUGAAUAAUAUUGAUGAAUUGCUGACCUAAUUUAUAUUUUUUUAAAAAUAUUACAGUAUAUGUAAUAUUUUUGGUGAAUCAGAUACGGAUGUGUUUGUGGUUCUUGGUUCUUGCCAUAAAUUGUUCUAAUGGUGAAAAUUUACUUAAUAUUGUCCUGAAUCUAAUCAAGUAAUUAUGGCCGUAAACUGAUAAAAUUUACCCUAACAUUGAUUUUGCCUCAAUUUAACAUUGCUUCAAUUGGAUUUUCAGAAAACUCUUGUUUUACAUUAGGUUUAAUUUUAGAAUGAGUAUCUAAAGUAAUUUGUCCUACUUUAUCAACUAACUCAUCUAAGUCUGAUUCAGUUGCAAAUUCAAUUUGACUCAUCAAUAUUUAAGAUAAGCUAUAUGUUCAUAUAAUAUUUUACUACUACGAUGCAUAGUCAAUAAAUCUUGUGUUCUAUCUUCUUUUAAUCUUAUUGAUCUUGGUCCCUAGCUUUUGAUGAUUACAAAACAAAUGGAUGUUGCUAACAUCUCCUCAAAGGCUUUUUCAGAAAUGAAUCAAAUCAGGUUCAAAGAUUAAGCACAUUUGAAAAAGACAGAGUAUGCUGAACCUGUCGGACGCUCAAAAAGACAGUACCGGACGUCCGAUAAUCAUUGCGCUACUUCAGACGCAGAAAACCAGCCUACCGGACGUCCGAAAGAAUUGAAGAAAAUCUCUUAAACUCACUGCUUGCUGUCGGACGCAUAAAACAGGGCUAUCGGACGUCCGACAUUCCAACGACUAGUUGACUCUUCAGCUACUUUCUAUCCGUUUGAAACAUUAAUGAGGCACUUUCUUGAUCCUAUAUAUAUAGUGGUUGGUCAAAUAUUUCAAACAACUUUUGCACACUGAAGAUACAAAAGAUCUAGAGUGAUUUUAGUGAGAAAAUACUCUUCAAAGAAGAUUUGUAGUCUUAGUGGUGUGAGAUUCAUUGUAAGCUUUUCAUUUGUGAGUGAAUACUUCAUGAGUGUAGCUCUGUGAGGGUUGUCCUGAGGGAUAGUAAAACGUCCUGACUUGACCGAGUGUAGUUCGGGGCAAGGAGGAGGUGAACCUUCCUUUGUACACGAGUGAUUGUAAUUCAUCAACUUGAAGUAGCUUGUUUCAAUUAAUCUACAAGCUCAAGAGGAGUUGGGUAGUUAAUUGGUUUGCAAUCCUUUCCUUUUUAUUUACUUACUAUUACAUUUGUGAUCUUUGCAUUGUUUAUGUCUUUCACUUGGUUGUUUUCGAUCCUUACAAUUGGUAUCAGAACUUGGUCUUCUAGAGAUUAAGCUCAAUCGGCUUGGGAGUAAAUAUAACAACCAAUAAUGCUAUGUUUUUUGAAGGACAUUCUGUCAUUAGACCACCUAUGUUUAAUGGGUCAAAUUAUGUGAGUUGGAAAGAAAGAAUUAUUAUUUUUUUGCAAUCUAUUGAUAUUGAAUAGUGGUUUAUUAUUAGUGAAGGUCCAUAUGAUGCCUCUCUUAUAGAUGAAAAUACUCAUAGAUCUAGAUCAAAAAUAAGAAAUGAACUGACUGCUAUACAUAGAACUCAUCUCAUUUUAAAUGCAAAAGCCAUGAAUGUGUUAUUUUGUACUUUAGACUCAAAUAAAUCUAUUAGAGUCAAGGGUUGCAAGUCAGCUAAAAAAAUUUGGGACAAAUUGAAAGAAAUUCAUGAAGGUAGUGAGAAUGUGAGAGAAUAAAAGAAGUCUAUUCUGGUUACCAAGUAUGAAUCGUUCAAGAUGAAACCUCAUGAAAACAUUGAUGAGAUGUACUGUAGAUUCAACGACCUCAUUAAGGACUUAGAGGUGUUGGAAAAAGAAUAUUCUCUAGGUGAGAAAAAUAGAAAAAUCCUGAAUGCCUUGUCCAAUGAUUGGAAAAAUAAAGUGGUUGCUAUUGAGGAGGCUAAAGAUUUGAAUACUAUGCCUAUUGAAUCUCUUAUUAAUUCUCUAAUUUCUUAUGAGCUGAAAUUUAAGUCCAAAAUGCAAGAGGAUGAGAAUGCGAAAGUAAGAAGGAGUAUUGCUCUAAAGGCAUCUCAAGAUGAAGAUGAUUCUGCCUCUCUAGAUGAAGAAGAUGCAGAAGGUGAUGACAAUGAUAUCGCACUCAUCACAAGAAACUUCAAACGAAUACUCAACAAGAGGAGAUUCAGAAAAGGUGGACCUAGCAAUUCACUUCCAAAUCAGUUCAACAAUCUGAGAAACAAAGGGAAGCUAGAGCUCAACAAAAAGCAAACUGAUAAGUGCUUUGAAUGCGGCCAACUUGGACACUACACAAGUGAGUGUCAAAUGAAGAAGAGGAACUGUGAAAGAAAACCAAGAUUCAACAACUUCCAGUUCACAUGGAAUGAAUGCAAGUCCGAUGGUGAAAUUGAAGAGAAAGAUGAAUCUGCUUAAUUGGAUUUCAUGGCCAUUGGAGAUGAUGAGGUAACAUUUUCUAACUCUCAAUUUGAAAGUGAUGAUGAAACUGAUGAUGAUCUUGAAUCUUUCAUUAUAAAAUUGCAUGAUAGUUUGAAAGAAUCCUAUGCUAGAAACAAGGAGUUAAAACAGAAAAUUAGUUUUUUGCUUCGAGAUAAUGCAAAUCUUUUUCAACAAAAUAAAAAGUUGAAAGUUGAAAAUGAUUACUUCAAAAAGAGUGAGACUGCUUUACACUUUGAGCUUGAUAGAAAAACAAAGCUUUGUGAAUUGUUCAAAAAGGAACAAGGUGAUUUGAAAAAAAGAAUGGAUGGUCUAAAUGAGUUGCUUAAACACAAGAAACAAGUCUGUUUUCAAAAGAAUAGGUUGAAUUCUAAUUCCAACGAAUUUGCUAUUUAUAAGAGAAAACAAGUAAGAUUUAUUAAACCUGUUCAUAUAAAUAACUCUUUGGUUAAGUGUAAUUUCUGUUGUCAAAAAGGUCACAUGAAAAGUGAUUGCUAUGUGAGAAAGAAUAUAAAAAAAGGCAUGAAAUUCAUGUGGAUAGUUAGACAUGAUACUAAUUCUAACAAGUAGGAGAUAUUGGUAAGAUUAAUGAGAUUCUUGUUCAUAAUACUUUUUUGUAAUUCUCUUUUGAUGUUUUGAACUGAGUUUUUAUUGAUUUUUUACUGUUUGUAUGAUGUCAAAAAGAGUGAAAAAAAAUAAUGUUGAUCUCAUGAUGAUUUGCUGUGAUUGCUGUCAUUUCUCUGUUUUUAUUUGGAUUAUUGGAUUCUCUGUUAUUGUUGCUGGUUUUUUGUAGCUGUUUUUUACUCUCAUCUUAUGAUGACAAAAAGGGGGAGAAAUGGAUGCUAUGUGUAAGGGGGAGUUAUUCUGAAAUUCAUAAGUUUAGAUGCAUUGUGUGAGGAGGAGCUUAUGCUUAUAUGCUCAAUUUUUUCUUUCUUCCAUCCAUUGUUUUGUCAUCACAAAAAAGGGGGAGAAUGUUGAUCUUGGUCCUUAGCUUUUGAUGAUUACAAAAUAAAUGAAUGUUGCUAACAUCUCCUCAAAGGCUUUUUCAGAAAUGAAUCAAAUCAGGUUCAAAGAUUAAGCACAUUUGAAAAAGACAGAGUAUGCUGAACCUGUCGGACGCUCAAGAAGACCGUACCGGACGUCCAAUAAUCAUUGCGCUACUUCGGACGCAGAAAACCAGCCUACCGGACGUCCGAAAGAAUUGAAGAAAAUCUCUUAAACUCACUGCUUGCUGUCGGACGCAUAAAACAGGGCUAUCGGACGUCCGACACUCUAACGACUAGUUGACUCUUCAACUACUUUCUAUCCGUUGGAAGCAUUAAUGAGGCACUUUCUUGAUCCUAUAUAUAUAGUGGUUGGUCAGAUAUUUCAAACAACUUUUGCACACUGAAGAUACAAAAGAUCUAGAGUGAUUUUAGUGAGACAAUACUCUUCAAAGAAGAUUUGUAGUCUUAGUGGUGUGAGAUUCAUUGUAAGCUUUUCAUUUGUGAGUGAAUACUUCAUGAGUGUAGCUCUGUGAGGGUUGUCCUGAGGGAUAGUAAAACGUCCUGGCUUGACUGAGUGGAGUUCGAGGCAAGGAGGAGGUGAACCUUCCUUUGUACACAAGAGUGAUUGUAAUUCAUCAAUUUGAAGUAGCUUGUUUCAAUUAAUCUACAAGCUCAAGAGGAGUUGGGUAGUUAAUUGGUUUGCAAUCCUUUCCUUUUUAUUUACUUACUGUUACAUUUGUGAUCUUUGCAUUGUUUAUGUCUUUCACUUGGUUGUUUUCGAUCCUUACAAAUCUGUUAUUUAAUAGUUCCAUCAUCAUUUCUAAUUCAGACUGUAUCUUUUUGCCGCAAUAGAUUAUGGUCUUUUGCAAUUUAGCAAUAUCUUUUUCAGUUUAAAAUAUCCUGGAACUAUCUAUUCGAAACUAUUCUCUUCCAUUUAGAAGAUGUAAUCUGCGAAAAUGUUCUGUCAAUUCAACAUGUAAAUCACAAAUGCGUUUCUUUUACAAAAUAAUAUCUAUAAUCAGACUAAUGAAGCAUUCUUCUUAUCAUUUCAAUAGUAAAUGGAUGACUAUAGUUUGAUAUUGGUUAAUCCAAUAAUCAACUAUAUGUUGAGUUUUGUGUAUUCCACUUUUAAACAGAUCAAUAUGUUUUUGUAAAAAUUCACAAUAAUCACAAUUCAUUCUAGAUAAGUCUAAUCUAUAUCAUCAACAAGGUUGUCAGUAUUAUCUAAUACAGCUUUAGGAGAGGAAGUAAAACUAUUUUGAUUAUCAGGUAGAGUAAAGAAUCUUUGUGGCUUUGAUACCCCACUCGGCUGUCAAGGACGGUUCAAAUCAGAAAAACUUCAAAUCAUGAUUGUUUAUAAAUGUUGAAGAAGCUAUCAUUAUUAUAAUCAUGUAUUUAUUCUAUUUCUCCCUUUUUUCCUUAAAGGAAAAGAGAUAAAAAUACAUGUAUAUAUGUAUAUAUACACAUUUGUGCAUAUACAUAUGUAUGUAAGAGUGUGUGUGUAUAUGCAUGUAUGCAUAUGUAUAUGUAUGUGCGUGUAUGUAGGACAGUGUCGUUCCUUAUGGUCGCCUUAUUAAGAUUUGCAUUUGUAGAUAUCUCCUCUGAUCGGGAGAAUUUUGUUGUCCAUUCUCAAGGACCAGGUGGUGUGGCAAGUAAAAAUAAAUAAAAAAUAAAUGAAGAAAAGCCAACAAAUCUUCCAAUGCUACUACUACUACUCCUAGGACAACGCAUAGAAAUCCUGCAUCAACCAAAAAAGACAGUCAAGUUGCCCUCUCUAUUUUCAUCGCCUUUCUCACAUUUCCUCAAUAGUUUUUCCUCUAUGGCACUUGAAAAUGGAGAAAAUUUCAAGGGUUUGGUCUAAGUUAAAAGAUUGGACUCCAAAAACCUAAGUGAUACGUGUUGAAGUUUGCAAUAUUAUAUGCUAAUAAGUUUAAUUUAAAAUUUUCUAUAAAUUUAGCCUUGGAAUGUAUAGCAAAAUAUGGUUCUACUCCAAUGCAAUAAGUUGAAUCUGCUAGAUGGCAGAUAUUAUGAAGACAUUUGAUUUUGCUUUCACUUUAUAUUUAAUGAAGAACAUAUUUUCUAUAAGAAUUGAACUCAACCUAGAAAUUUAAAAUAAUAAUUAUAAUUAAUAAGAAACAACAUAUAGGAAGUUUUAUUUGGUAAAAUCAUAAUAUUUUGCUAAUUUUAUGAUGUUAAAAUUUCAGGUAUGAGUGAGACUUGUAUUCUUAAGAGGAGAUCAAUAUAUGAAACUUUAACUAUUAUUAGUUUUAUUUUGCAAAGUAAUUUCAAUCUAUGGUAUUUUAGAUAUGUAAGUUUCAAGAGUUCAAUGGCUGUUUCAUAUAUAGACAAUCACCAGGGGCCGUUUGUUUCAAUAUACCUUUUUUUUUGUAAUGUCGUACCAUAUCGUCCUUUGUUUAGUUUUGAUAAGCAUAGGUUGCUUAGGUUUACUCAACUUUACCCAUAUGAAUUUCUCCACAAUUAGUGUUUUUUUUUUUUGGUAUUUUCAGCUUUGUUUGGAAAGUGGAAAAUCCUCGCAAGUGGUUUGGUGCCUUUUGUUCCCUUGCAUUUUGGUAAAUACAUUUCUUGCCAUUCUUUUUAAAUUUAUUUUUUUUGCACCACGAACAUAUAUCCUAGUCAGUAUUUUUUUUUGUAAAUUUCAGCUUUGGUCCGAAAAUAGAAAAGGUUUUGCAGUCAAAUUUCUGUUCAUUCCAGGUUAGUUUACCUUUGAUUUGUAUCAUUAAUUUGCUGAAAUUUUUGUUAAUAUUAUAUGGGCUGAUAUUUUAAAUAUUUUAAUAUUAGUGUCAUGUGCCUAUAUGUUUGGCUAUUCACUCUUAUGGUAAGUUUUUGCUUAUGCUUCUUAAGAAGAUAUAGCCGCGCUUUUCUGCUUUUAUGUGGUAUUUUAAGGCAUCGAAAUAUUAAUAAAGUAUAUUUUAAAAAAAUUCUUAUUGGCCAAAAAAUUAGUGAUUUUUCCCCCCAAUUUAUGCUUGCCCUUCCGAUUUACCUUCUAUGUACACUAUCUCAUUUCCCAACUGUCGCGCCCCACUUUUUGAAUGUGAUGAGUGUGGUGUGAACGUGCGCAAAAUGAAAAUAAAGGGCCAUGGGACUUAAGAAUGCGACGAUUUGGCCAAAUAAAGUUCAAAAAAGGGUUUUUUAAUAAAAAUGGAGUCGCCACUUGGUAUAGAGUUAGGGUGUACCAAGUCACCCAAAAAUGAUUUUUGUUUUUGAAUGAAAAAAGUAAAUAAACCCUUUUAGAGAACUUUUGGGUCUACGUAACCAAAAAAGAGGGAUCGGGGAUCACAUUUGACGAAGGGGAAGGCAAUGAUAAAGAUCCAAGGCACCCCUUCGACCUAGCCAAGGCUAGUUGCGUGAUUUAGCCCUACCUUUUCUAAUUUUCCUACCCAAGGUAUGUAUCACAUGUUGGAUAUGACUAUAUGAAUGCAAAAACCUAGACCUAUGGGGACAUGGGGGAAAUUUCUCUUCAAAGGUUGAGUGGUGCCAAUCACAUUAAUUUGUGAAGCCCAAUAAUGAUCCUUUGGAGAGGUCACACGUAAUCCUAAAUGACGUAAAAAUGAGUGGAAUGCAUGCCAUGUGAAAGUGUGAGUUUGUGUGAAGUGAGAAAAAUGGUAAAAGUAAUAAGAUAUAAGUGGGGGUGUGCAAAUGUCUUUUCAAGGUAACGUAAGUAAAGAAUAAUAAGGUGAAAAAUGCCAUAAGGUGCAUGUGUGCGAGUGGUAUGGUAUAGAUGGUAGUGUGCAAAUGGGUGUAAUUUGUGAGGUAGAAAAAUAAAUAAGUGAUAGGAGAAGUGCGUGAACAUAGCAUGUGAAGUGAGAAAAUCAUAAGUAGUGAAAAAUGUAGAUGAAAGAGUGAAAUGAUAAGAUGAGAUGCAUGAACCUAUUGGAGUGCAUCAAGUCGGGUACGGGAGAGCUAAGUCGUGACUCAAUUUUCCCUUUGAUAGAGGGAAUAUAAGCGUGCUAAGGCUUAGAAAAAGCCACACUCGUCUAUAUCCCAUAUUUAAGGGGACUCUUCAGGCAAAUGUACCCUAUCACUAGCAUGAGAUGCAAAAAUCCUAAAAUGAGGGGAAAAGGGGCUCGAGGAGCAUGCCAAAUGAUAAAACUAAGAAAAAUGCAUGACAUGUAGUGGACAUGCAAAUAUGCACUAACAAAAGGGGAUGGCCUAUUGGGUCUAGCGUUGGACUAGCCCUUUCUAUGAAUUCCUAAUGAAAUAAUGAGCCACAACUAGCAUUGGACUAGUGUGGUGACGUACAUUCAUCCAUCACAUUCAUUCAUGGCUAUGGAAAGCGAUUAGACAUGCCAAACACCUAUAAGCACAUAGCACAUAACAAUUAGCAUGUUCGACUAAAUGCAAGAACCUAAUAAAGCAAAUUAACACAUAGCAACAAAAACAAGCAAUCAAGCUAAUAAACCUAUUACAUUUGCUAGCUAGGCACAAUGUCUUCAAUAGGUCUUCAUCAAGUGCUCCCCAAGCCCUAUCUAUUACAAGCCAAGAGGUGUACACAUACCCCAUAAUGAAUAACUUAAAUUACAAGCCAAGAGGUGUACACAUACCCCAUAAUGAAUAACUUAAAUAAAAGUAAAGGUAAAUGAAAUAAAUGCAAAGACUUAAAGAAAGGCAAGGAAAGCAACGUAGACAUGCAAUUCACACUUAGCACGUUGGAUCACAUAGGAGAAAUGAAAAUCAAGGAGAUAGAGGUUACCUCCCUUGUAAUUGGGCACCAAUGAAGCGAAAUCACUUAUUUAUCUUCCAAAAUAAAAGAAAUGGUCAAGGCACCAAUUUAUUUGGAAAAAAUAAAGAAAAUAGGCAAACACAAGCUCACUUGGUCAUAAAGCCCCUAAAAUCAUGAAUUAAGUGCAAUUGAAACAAAGCAUGGUAGUCAAUUGAAGCAAGCAAGCAAUGAAAUUGUAGAAUUAAAAUUGCCAAGGACCAAAUUGAUGAAAUUAUUCAAUUGAUUGGGUCCUAGUAGAACAAGGGGAGACUUGAGGGAUCAAAGUGCAGUUUUCAGCAAUUGUUUCAUGCAAAACUCAUGCAAGCUACGUAGACAAGAAAACUUCUGCAAUUUACUUUCUAUUCCAACUUCUAUCAACCGAGAAAGAAAACUGCUGCACUUCUCAUUUCCAUUUCCAAGCUUUGAUCAAAACAUUUCAUCUAAGCAUAAUCAUUUCAUCAUUUGCAAGAUUAAGGCAGCUAUUCUUAUUGCAGGAUUAAAACAAGAAGUGAAGCUGGCCAUCAAGGGUGAAAAACUAAACAGCAAGACAGCAAUAAAAGGAAAACAUGUCGCAGAUUUUCUGCAACAGAAAAUUCGGCAGCUUGCCAAACGUUCUUCAACCAAGAAGACAUCAUCCCAUGCUCCACUCUUAUGCGCAAAAAACAUUAGCUAAACACACAAUUCCGUUGCACAUAUGAAGUUGGAGCUGACCAUCAAGAAAGUAAAAAAACUAAACAGCAAAGAAGAAAGAGUGCAGCAAAGUUUUUCUGCGAUCAGCUUCCUAAACUUCAAAGCUUCGGCAACCGAGAAUGAAUCAGGAUUUUUCAAUCAAGCAUCAAAAACUUUGGAUUAAACAACAGCUACCUAAAACCGCAAGCCCAAACAAGAAAAAACACUUAAGAUAGCCAUCAUGCAAAUCUGGAAAAUCAGAAGAUUUGCUGCAAUUUUCAGCCACGACUUGUCCAGAAUUUCCAGUUUAUCAUGCCAACAGAAAUAGAAUUAUGAAGCCUGUGGGUUUAUCCAUCGAACCCCCCCCUUUUACAGUCAGAUCAAAUCAAGAGAAACACAAGCUUCAGUGGUUCUAAGCUAACCCAAUCCAGAUUCACGCACCAAAGGAAACCCAGAGGCACGAUCAUGAACUUCUGGUAAUACCUAGGCUGAUGAUGCAAACUACCCUUCACAUAUUUAAACCGCAAAGCACAGAGCUUUAUUUAGUCAAACACACAACAAACGCAAUCCCAGGCAUAUACUUCAUCUUAAAAGAACAGAACAACGCAAAACCUUGUCUGACUUCAACUUUAGUAAACCAGAUUUUUGAAAACAAACCCACCAGACAAUCGAUAGCAAAAAUGCAGUCAGGGUGGACGUACAAAACUGGCUUUGCGACCCAAACCUUAAAACGAACAGAGAAGAGAUUGAAGAUUACCUAUUUCGCUGCUCCCGGAGUUAAAUCACCGUGGGUAGUCCCGGAUUGGCCGAACCCGAACUGCGAACUUUGACAAAGGGCCGUGGAGCUUCGAGCUUUAGGCUUCAUCUCUUUACGGUUUCCUUCGAUGGGUUUCUCUUCCUCCACUCUUUUGGUUCUUUCUCAGCCGCCAACCACCUGAUGCUAUUCUCCAGCUCUUGCUCUCGGUUUCUUCCCCUCCCCCAGCUCUCUUUUCUCUCUGGUUUUUUCUUUCUCUUUGUCGUCCCUCUCUUCACUCCCGUAACCUCUUUCUCUCUCUCCCAACCUAGCCUUUUGCACCGCUCUCUGCUUUUCUCUUCCCGUCAGCUUUUUGGUUUUCUCUUCUCUUCCCAAAUUUCUGCAGCCGUCCCUCGAUCUCCCUUUGCGGCUACUGCCUCUCUUUUCUUUUAUAUGGGAUCCCUAGCCCUAAAGCCCAGUCCUUUCUCUCCUAUAUUUGCAGCUAAGGGACUGCCCAGGUCCUCUCUUGCAAGCUGCGAAAAUACGCAGCUUGCUGUCGCGUGUUCCCCUUCUUUUUUUUUUUUUUUUUUGUAAAGAGUAAUUUAACACAAAUGAUAAUAAACAUAAAUAACAAAAAUAAUUUAAUUAACAUUGGGCAAAAUAAAUAAACUAGAAGCAACAAAGUGCAACUUCCAUUUUCCUUUUUUCAUUUUUCAUUUUUCAUUGUUUUUCUUCUUUUUUUUUUCCUUUUCAAAAUAACUUAACAAAAAUAAGUAAGAUGCUAAAAGAUUGAUUUUAAAAGACAUAAAACAUAUUUUUUGGAACACUUUUCUUUUUCCUUUGAGAAAUUCUAGCUAAAAUGGCUAAAAUAACUAAAACUAAAAGUAAAUAAAACUAAAUGUGACAAUUAAAAAUAGAACAAAUAAAAACGAAUAGUAAAUAAAUAAAUAAAUAAUAAAACACCAAAAAUUUGGUGUCUACACCAACCAUGCAAUUCUUUUUUUUUUUCCAGAAAAAGAAGAGAAUCAAAGAGGGGAAAGCACUAUACAUCUCCCCUCCCCACCCCUAUUUGCCUUCUUGGCCAAAAACAUGAAGAAAAACUCACACUUUCGCAUCAAUUUUGAGCCAUAUGAUGAAUUUAUUGUUGAGUUUUUCUAGCCUUUUUUUUCCCAAAAUUGACCUCCUAGCAUAAAUGUUUGCUUUUUUAUUAUUGAUUGUUUUGUAAGUUUGAAAGAAUUAAGAAGAAGCAUAGCAAAGUAAACAUCUAGUGUUUAAGGUGUGUGAUCAUCUCUUACAAUAGUAACUUGCUUUGUGUUUGAUGAUUUGCUUCUAAAGGUAGCUUUACCACUACACUGGUUUAGUUUUCUGAAAAUUUACGUGUCCCAUUGUUAUGGAGUAUUAGAUGAUUUGAGAGAUGUUCUUUAGCUUACUGUUUGGUCCUAAACAAAAAUGAUUUGACUUUUGCCUUUGUGUUUGUAUGCUGAAUGAUCCUUUAAUGUCUUGCACAGGCUCGAACUAUCUUUAAAUUUCAUUGGAAAUAAUACUUUGAUAGACCUAGAAACAUUAAUUUCAUCGAUUGUUUUUGACUUUUACUGCAUUGUCAUGUUAUUGACUAUCAUAGUUAGGACCAAAGACCAGUUAAAGAGUAUUUCCCCAGCUUCUACUGUCUUGGUUCUAAUUUUCCACAUGUUUUGGGGCUCAACAAGUAGAAUCUGCACUCAUGAUUUGUUUGAUAUAAUUUGGUUUCUGCUUAAAUUUUGGUUUUAGGAACUGGUCAUGCACUGAUUAAUUCCCGGCACAAAUAAGCACUUUUGAGUUCCAUACCUUGGUUCAUUGAAAGGAGAUUGUUCAAUGGACGGAUCCUAACUUGGGGGUACAGAGACUUUUAACAUACCUCAGUCUUCAAUUGUUUUGCAGCUUCCUUGUUAUAUUAGUUUCUCUGGUUUUGCACAUGGACAUGGACAUUGCUUUAAUUACCCUACUGCCAUAAUAGUUCGCACAUGGACAUGGUUUUUCAACAUGAUGACAAUUAAGAUCUUCCUUGUUCUAUUAAUUUUAA